rnacentral:rRNA from 1 species
GACGAACGCUGGCGGCGUGCUUAACACAUGCAAGUCGAACGGAAAGGCCCUGCUUUUGUCGGGUGCUCGAGUGGCGAACGGGUGAGUAACACGUGAGUAACCUGCCCUUGACUUUGGGAUAACUUCUGGAAACUGGGGCUAAUACCGGAUAGGAGCUCCUGCUGCAUGGUGGGGGGUGGAAAGUUUCGGCGGUUGGGGAUGGACUCGCGGCUUAUCAGCCUGUUGGUGGGGUAGUGGCUUACCAAGGCCUUGACGGGUAGCCGGCCUGAGAGGGUGACCGGCCACAUUGGGACUGAGAUACGGCCCAGACUCCUACGGGAGGCAGCAGUGGGGAAUAUUGCACAAUGGGCGGAAGCCUGAUGCAGCAACGCCGCGUGAGGGAUGACGGCCUUCGGGUUGUAAACCGCUUUCGGCUGUGACGAAGCGUGAGUGACGGUAAUGGGUAAAGAAGCACCGGCUAACUACGUG